AACGAACGCUGGCGGCAGGCUUAACACAUGCAAGUCGAGCGCCCCGCAAGGGGAGCGGCAGACGGGUGAGUAACGCGUGGGAACGUGCCCUUUGCUACGGAAUAGCUCCGGGAAACUGGAAUUAAUACCGUAUGAGCCCUACGGGGGAAAGAUUUAUCGGCAAAGGAUCGGCCCGCGUUGGAUUAGCUAGUUGGUGGGGUAAAGGCCUACCAAGGCGACGAUCCAUAGCUGGUCUGAGAGGAUGAUCAGCCACAUUGGGUCUGAGACACGGCCCAAACUCCUACGGGAGGCAGCAGUGGGGAAUAUUGGACAAUGGGCGCAAGCCUGAUCCAGCCAUGCAGCGUGAGUGAUGAAGGCCUUAGGGUUGUAAAGCUCUUUCACCGGAGAAGAUAAUGACGGUAUCCGGAGAAGAAGCCCCGGCUAACUUCGUGCCAGCAGCCGCUGUAACAC
rnacentral:rRNA from 1 species